rnacentral:rRNA from 1 species
GAUGAACGCUGGCGGCGCGCCUAAUACAUGCAAGUCGAGCGAACGGACGAGAAGCUUGCUUCUCUGAUGUUAGCGGCGGACGGGUGAGUAACACGUUGAUAACCUACCUAUAAGACUGGGAUAACUUCGGGAAACCGUAGCUAAUACCGGAUAAUAUUUUGAACCGCAUGGUUCAACAGUGAAAGACGGUCUUGCUUUCACUUAUAGAUGGAUCCGCGCUGCAUUAGCUAGUUGGUAAGGUAACGGCUUACCAAGGCAACGAUGCAUAGCCGACCUGAGAGGGUGAUCGGCCACACUGGAACUGAGACACGGUCAAGACUCCUACGGGAGGCAGCAGUAGGGAAUCUUCAGCAAUGGGCGAAAGCCUGACAGAGCAACGCCGCGUGAGUGAUGAAGGUCUUCGGAUCGUAAAACUCUGUUAUUAGGGAAGAACAUAUGUGUAAGUAACUGUGCACAUCUUGACGGUACAUAAUCAGAAAGCCACGGCUAACUACGUG